AUGAGGGCUUAUCGGUCUUUUUACCUUUUUUCUUUGAACAAUCUUAUGGAUUGGCACAUGGUUAAAUUUAACUUAAAAACUAACUAGGUUAGGGUAAAAGGUCGAAAUGUGCACAAAAGUGUUAACAUAAAGGACAUAAGGUGUAAUAAAGGACAACGCCCGACGUAAAAGACAACUAAAAUUUCAAACAUCGUCCAUUUUCGUUAUUUAGAUGAAAGUUUUGGUAAAAAGAACGGCACAUAAAUAAAUUUAUUUUCUCUUAAAUAAUCAAGUGAUCAUAAUCAAAAGCACUUCAUCUAAACAUUUAAAACACGUCAUUGUGACUUUGGCUCAUGAAAAUCAGAUAAUAAUGCAAUAGUCGGUUGCAUAAAUAACCAAAACUUCAUAAACGAUGUAAUU
rnacentral:lncRNA from 1 species